AAUUGUUUAGUAUAAGAAGUAUGGUAAAUUUAGAGUUUAUUGGUUGAUAUAAUUU
rnacentral:tRNA from 1 species